AUUAUUAUUAUUAUUUUUUUUUUUAAUCAUGAUCUACUCAGUGAAAAGAUUAACGAAAUUAUAAACUGAAUCUAACAUAGUUUAACCAACCCACUCUCAGAUAGAAAUGCUAGUGCUAUUUCAGUGUUAUCCAUUGAUUUUUUAGAAAGUGGAUGAAGUGAAGGAGGAGUUUUAACAGAAAGGAAGAGUAUGGAAGCCAAGACAGGUAGUGUUUGUUACCUGGCGUAUGUGUGACAGUGUUGGUAGGCUGCCUGGCUUGCUGCUUCUCUUUCCACAGUUUUGUGAAAGAUUUCCUUAUAAAUAGUUAUGUAAGCAUAUGAGAGGUAAUCAUUAUUUCUAUUUUUUUAUUUACUCAGAUAAAAGAUAAUAAUAAUAAUAAUAAUAAUAAUAAUAAUAAUAAUAAUAAUAAUAAUAAAAGUUGCACAUUGAUAUAUAAAAUGGUUAAUCUCAAUAGCCAAGAAUCUAAUAUUUUUACUUAAACUUCAGUUUGCCUUAAUGAUGAAGGAAAGAUAAUAAUUGAAAUGAAAAAUAUCACAUCGUAAUAUUCAUGAGAGAGAGAGAGAGAGAGAGAGAGAGAGAGAGAGAGAGAGAGAGAGAGAGAGAGAGAGAGAGAGAGAACUAAUUUUGUUUAUAGUGGGUAUUACAUCGAAAGGCAAUCAGAAUUACAACUAAAUAGAAGAAUAGAAGGAAGAACGCCUCUGGGCCGGUAUACAUAACCAUUUUUAACAGGCUAAAAGUACUUUCAGUGAUCAGUUUUAGGUUUACUGCUAACUUUUUUUUUUUUUUAAGUAAUACAUAAUCGCCUAAAACUUUUAACGGCUACGAGUGGUGAGGGGUACUUCUGAUGCGCUUAAAAUGACUUUUAAGCGGCAGGACGAAAGCCCAGCACCUCAAUUUUCGGCAAAGGAGAGGCGUGUCCUAAGAAAGCAUCGUGAUAAUCAGCUGACCGUGAAAGUUCUGCCUGCCCUUGAUUGUUAGCACAUAGUGUAGGGAACCAUUGUAACUGUAGAUCAGAACCUAGAAGCCUAAGUGGAAAUUUCCUAUUCUGACGCCCGCUGGGAGAAGUGUCUAAUUGCUGUUUGUUCUCUUAGUUUACUGGUAAAUUUUAAGAUAGGAAUAACUAAUAUAUGCAAUAAUAAAAUAAUAAUUGAUAAUUGUAAAUGUUAAACUAUAUGAAUAGGCGAUAGCUAGAUAGAAUAACUCAUGUGAAAUGUGAUCCUGUGAAACCUAUCACCUACGAUGUCACGUGAUCACAAGCGCCGCACCUUGAGGAACGCCGCAUUUCCCCGGGCAGUUGGGUGGAGAGCUCCGGUCUGGCCAGCUGGGUGUGCACGGUGCGCGGUGUCCUGUGUGUGGACUCUGUCACGAGACAGUUGCACGUGUGUAUCGUGCUUGUAAAAGGCAGGGAAAUAAGUGCAAGUGACAUUGUGUAAGUGACUUCAUUGUGGUGACAAGAACAGUGACAGACAGAUUACAUAUCCCUGUGCUGAAAUUCAGUUCUCUUCGGCUCAGUACUUAGGUGGUAUUGUAUGUAAACUGUAAAUAUUUGUACUAACUGUACAAAGGGUUUGCCUAAUUACCUGGGUAUUGAAAGACAGUAAAUUGCCUCUAACCACUCGAAGGCUCUACUAAUGCUGUGUUAAAUAAGCAGUAACACUACGCCCUGCAUCUUACGCAGCAUUACAUAUGUGGUGAUAGAUAACAUAAAAUGGUGUCGCAGCUAAUGGGAUAUGAAAACUACAAGUAAGCUGUCAUAAUACCCAGAAAACCCUUAAAAAUUUAUUUUGUGGAACGAGACGAGACAUUCUGGUGAGCGAAUCCUUGUGGCUAAAGGGCAGAGCGAAGUGGUAGUGGAGAGCGCUUGGACGUGGAUGUUUACCCACUUCAGCAGAAAACACCGGAGGGUCGCCCUGCUGAGGUCAGCAACCAGCAGCCAGGAGCAGACACAACAACCGCCAAGGCGCCCCACCACACGCUCCCCCCAGUCCCCUCACCACUCGUCACGUUCACAGAGAAAGACACGCAGCGGUUGCAGGGGCUGCAAGGAGCGACGUACUAAGGGCACGAGACUACAGAGGUGCCGUGACGUCGGUACUUCCUUAUCAGACGGUCUGACGCCGUCAAGGUCUGCCCCGAGUCGUCAGCUGUGACCUGCAGAGGGACGGAGAAGAGGACUAUUCUUCCCCUCAUCGCAGAAGAAAUUACACUCACACCUUAGGUGAGACCAUGCACUGAGCUGACACUACAUUAUACAUUACAUUAUUAAAAUAUAAAUUACAUCCUUUGAUUAUAUUGGGAUGGUGAAUGUGACUCACGUUUUCUAAGGUUGACUGAUGGGCCAUGUGAGUAGUCAAGUGUAAACUUGCAGCUCUUAAUUAAUGUUGUAUGUCUCAUAUCAUUAUAUGUUUCUUCUUCCACGUGUUCCCUUAAUUAAGGAACUUUGAAAGCAUCUUUAAGGGCAGUAUAGAAAACAUAUAAUAAUAAUAAUAAUAAUAAUAAUGAUAAUAAUAAUAAUAAUAAUAAUAAUAUACAUUAGUUAAAUGAUUAAGGUUCUCUUGUAACUUGACCUUGCUUAACAAAAUAUUAUGAACAGGAAUAUAAGUAUUGUGAUAAUAAUCACCCUUUCCUUAAUUAUUCAUAAUUAUCAAAUGAUUAAUGAUUAUUCAUGGCAGAAAGCAAGAGAUAAACUAAAUAAAGAAUACUAGAAGCUUUGCGAGUCGGAUGAUAACAAUGAAAUAGAAGGCGCUGAUGACAGUAGUGGUGAUAGCGGGAAUUAAGGUGAUGAAGAAAAUCUUCAGACACUGAGAAGUGGUAUUCAACACCCGAGAGUUUCACCUGCUGAUACUAGUCCUUCUGUAUCGCUGCUUCCUUCUUCCUUUCAACUAAUCAUGAGUAGUCUAACCACAUCUGGUACGGGUGAACCUGCACCACCACCCGCACCUCAAACUCACACUCAUGCACCAAUCAGAUCGUUACAAACCUCGGUAUCGGUUCGAGCGUUCACAGGCACCGAAGGUAAUUACAAUGCACGUGAUUUUAUCGAACACUGUGAGAAUGUAAUGAGAAUUUCAUGCAUCGUAGACGACGCGGAUAAGAUUGCAUUUGUCCGUUCACGUCUUGAACCAGGAUCGCCAGCCGGGAGAGGAAUGGUCGCAAGUGCAUUCACUAAACCCAUCCGGAACAAUGACUAUGGUUCUUUCCGUACCAACUUCUUGAUAAUCUUUGCAGGAGAUGGCCAUCGUAGUCUCGUAAGAGGAGUCAUUAAUGCUGUGAGGACCUUGGUAGCGGAUGUAGCUUCUUUAAACAUGCUUGAGAGUCAGGUGCUAGCUAACCGAAUCACGCAAGACUUCGACAAGUAUCUAAUAGACAAUGGGUGGAACGAAGGAGGGUACAUUUCAAUGGAAAACCAUAAUAAGUUCAUUGAAUUCUUCAUCUACAUGCUAUCUGUAAAAGGGGAGUGCCGAGAAAGCGCAACAUCCCUUGAUUACAAACUUACCGAAGACCUGCUUGACUUUGUACAAAGAAACAAAGCAAAGCUUGAAGAAAAGGGCAACAAGGCUCUUACUAUAGGUGCAACUCAAGCAGAACAAGGUGAACCUCCUUACGCAGCAGUGGCAGCCACUCAUAAAGGGAGCGUUACUUGCCAAUACUGUCAGCGAGAGGGACAUACCAUUGACAGAUGUUAUCUCAAAAGGAAAGAGAAUCGCCAAAGAAAGAAAACUGAUGUUGAUGGCCAAGAAAAUUACAAAAGUAACAGUAAUAAAGGGCAGCAACAUGAAAACUUGUCUCGAAAUCAGCGAAAACCAACCCAAAUGGCCAACACAGCUUCAGGAAACAACAAUGACAGCGAGUUGUCCCGAGGCGCCAGAAAUAAUGCUCCUUUCUGUACUCUUCAUCAGUGCACUGGACACUCCACCGAAGAGUGUUACUCAUUUCUCAGUCUUCAGAGAAAAAUGAGAAAACUCCUUGGAGCUGGCGCUACACAGUCGGGGGAAGCGACGCGCCCCAUGAAACACAAACCAGGAUAGAAAACCAUCGCUGGAGUCAAAAGACUGCAGAUCAGGCAGAUGAUAGUGCUCUGCGUGAGUUUUUAAUAGCCUCUUGCAGUCAGACCAACGUAAUGGUUCCACCUACAAAAGUAGGACCUGUGAAGGCUUCUUUUGCGGUAGAUACAGGCGCUGCUGUAAAUGUCCUCUCUGGAAGAGCGUAUUUGGCAUUAAAACGCGCGUCACGUGGCAGCCGAUGGCCUCUCAGGCAAAAUUAUAAAAAUCUGAUAGGAAUUUCCCGCGUACCUCAAAAUUUUGGGAAUUGUUCGUCUUCCUGUUAUAUUGGAUAAAAGUACUGCAACCAUUCGUUUGGAUUUCUACGUUGUUUCCGACUUCAGUUUGUCAUCAGAUGGAUUGCUGGGUUUGGAAUCAAUGCAGGCCAAUAAGAUGGUGAUUCACACAGAUACUAGUACAGUGAGAUUCCAAGGGAAGACUUUUAGAGCAAUGGGUCAUCCCAGGUGUGCUACAGGUAAAUUGUCAGAUUUAGACAGUUGCCAAACUGAGUAUCUUCUCUUAUAUUUUUGCCCAGCAUCUCGUUUUGCCUUCUUGUCUGUUACUAGUCACGGAAUUUGCGAAGUAGUGCUCACUCAAGAAGAUGCUGCUAACGCCCUUACCUUAUGUCCAUAUAAACAUUUGGUCCUUAAACCUUUCUUUCACGCAAGUUUCUAUGGACACCACAAUUUCUUUUUUCACACAAACUUACUAUGUGUUUGUGGUUUGUCCUGAUGGUUCUGAAUAUAAGGGAGUUUCAGGUCAUUUUACAAUUCUAAAUGCUCGUUCCUUGCUAUCUGACAAACUGAACACUUUCCCUGAAAAAAUAAAUGGAGGUUUUGUGUCUAAUCUUAGUUCCAGAAUUUUUCUUCUUGGUACUUUGAGUAAGUUAAAUCUUGCAAAUAUCAAAUUCGUGACCAAUACCUUAUCUGAGUUUACUUUCUCUAAUAUCUCAGAACUAGAAAAUGUAGUUCAUGACUCUCUACCUGUGUAUCUUAGUCCCUGUGUGCAUAUUCCAACAGUCAUCAUACAUAUCAUUAUUUCACUUGUCCUACUGAUUUCUUUGUACUGUUGUGUUCGAAAAGCCCUGAAGUUGUAUAACUAUCUCGGUAGAAGAAUCAAGCAAAAUAACAUGAGUCAAUAGAACACAUGACAGUGACAUGGGUAGGUACAUACCUAUAGGUUUUGCCGUAAGGCGCGACAACGUGGCAGUAGGUGUGCCCAGCGAUGUUAGCACACAGUGUAGGGAACCAUUGUAACUGUAGAUCAGAACCUUCUAGAAGCAUAAGUGGAAAUUUCCUAUUCUGACGCCCGCUGGGAGAAGUGUCUAAUUGCUGUUUGUUCUCUUAGUUUACUGGUAAAUAUUAAGAUAGGAAUAACUAUUAUAUGCAAUAAUAAAAUAAUAAUUGAUAAUUGUAAAUGUUAAACUAUAUGAAUAGGCGAUAGCUAGAUAGAAUAACUCGCAUGUGAAAUGUGAUCCUGUGAAACCUAUCACCUACGAUGUCACGUGACCACAAGCGCCGCACCUUGAGGAACGCCGCAUUGCCCUGGACAGUUGGGUGGAGAGCUCCGGUUUGGCCAGCUGGGUGUGCACGGUGCGCGGUGUCCUGUGUGUGGACUCUGUCACGAGACAGUUGCACGUGUGUAUCGUGCUUGUAAAAGGCAGGGAAAUAAGUGCAAGUGACUGUGUAAGUGACUUCAUUGUGGUGACAAGAACAGUGACAGACAGAUUACAUAUCCCUGUGCUGAAAUUCAGUUCUCUUUGGCUCAGUACUUAAGUGGUAUUGUAUGUAAACUGUAAAUAUAUGUACUAAUUGUACAAA